GUGCUUGCUUCGGAAGCAUAUAUAAUAAAAUUUGGAACGAUACAGAGAAGAUUAGCAUGGUCCCUGUGCAAGGAUGACAUGCAAAUUCAUGAAGCGUUCCACAUUUUU